rnacentral:lncRNA from 1 species
GCGCCUGUACUGAAGAGGUAUGCGGCCUCUUUUGUGGGGUGUUGUUUUUUGCUACAUCAGGAAGCUUCCUCGUAGUAAUGUGGUCUUUAGCAUGUUCAAACACCUCACGCUUUACACCAGUAGUUGCCCCCUUCCUGCUUGGGUUCUUCAGAGCCUGUGCAGCCUCGUCAGUGACGAAGUCAAAGUGUACAGUUCGCUUGACCUUCCCCUCGAAAUCAUGAUACUCCUUUAUGACCUCCGUGUUUGCAGCAUUUGUACUUUGCUCCACAACCUCGCCAACAGAAGUAGAGAGCUUAACUUCAGAGGUGUUCUGGCUGGUACUGAUAGCCUGUACUGAAGAGGUAUGCAGCCUCUUUUGUGGGGUAUUUUUGUUACCUAGAUCAGUUAGUCUAUUGCUUUGCUCAUCAGAUACCUCACAUCUCACAGCAGUGAUUUUCAGGUCCCAGCUUGGGUUGUUACCCUCUUCAUGUGCCACUUUACCGUCAGUAUCACAGAGCAUCUUCUUUCUUGGGGAGAUGUUCUUUUCCUCCUCAACCUGCUCCCCAGUGAUUUUAAGGUUCUUGCUCAGGCAGUUGUCGAUAUGAUAUCCAGGCAAUUCCUUAACUGGUAGAGGAAGUGUCAUGCUCAGGUUGUUACCCUCUUCAUGUGCCACUUUACCGUCAGUAUCACAGAACAUGUUCUUUCUUGGGGAGAUGUUCUUUUCCUCCUCAACCUGCUCCCCAGUGAUUUUAAGGUUCUUGCUCGGGCGGUUGUCGAUAUGAUAUCCAGGCAAUUCCUUAACUGGUAGAGGAAGUGUCAUGCUCGGGUUGUUACCCUCUUCAUGUGCCACUUUACCGUCAGUAUCACAGAGCAUCUUCUUUCUUGGGGAGAUGUUCUUUUCCUCCUCAACUUGCUCCCCAGUGAUUUUAAGGUUCUUGCUUGGGCGGUUGUCGAUAUGAUAUCCAGGCAAUUCCUUAGCUGAUAGAGGAAGUGUCAUGCUC